ensembl:lincRNA
UUACAUCUAUGAAGAUGUUACAUCAUGAUACAAGAUAGCCCAUGGGAAAAUUGUGAUGAGGAAAUGAUUCCAAAUGGAUAUCUCAUCAAAGGCGCUUGGCAUGCUUUUCACAGUUCUAAAGACAUUUUAAUAUACUUGCUUCUAUACUAAACAAGUUUAUAUACCAAAUAUUAUG